rnacentral:misc_RNA from 1 species
UGUUACUGUAAUCGCAUGCCAAUUUUUGCAUAAUCAUCACUUACAGCUAGUGCUUUGUCCCUAAAUCCAACGUUCACAAACUCAGUAAAAAUAUUGCCUGCGGCACUUCAAUUGUUUAUUCCCUGCAACGCAUCUCGACCACCAUCACUCUUGCCAUCUGUUCUCGAUGUUAAACACGUGUAAACAACAGUGGUCAAGAGUGCAUAAGACAUGAUGAAGCGCAGUAGUAUUAUAAUAAAAUGGAAAACGGUCGAGUUUUGUGGGGUCAUAUAAAAAAGUGGGGCCACGUGGUUAGUUGUCACUAGAAGCCACAAAGCCAUUUAGCUUCUCUCAAGAUUCAAGAGAAGAUCGUGGUUUUAGCGCAGUAGCUGUUUGGCUUUUGUUCCAGUCAUUGUCUGACACAGGGGUCCCACUCUCACCCCCUUGAUCUGCUCAAUUCUCUCUCUUCCCCCGAGUCCUUUCCUUUUAUAUAGAGACACCCCUCACUCCCUCCCAUGUACUGCUACUCCACUUACCAUCUCUGUACCAACACAGAAACAACUACCCAUACACCCCACUAUUCUCUCUCUUGCUCUGUUUCUCUAGGAACCAGAGCAUGGAGCGUUGUUUCAUCUUCUACUUGCUCUUACUUCUUUGCAUUUUCAGUUUUGCAGAUGCGGGCUCAAUCGGGGUAAACUAUGGAAGAAUAGCAAACAACCUACCUUCUGCGGUGAAAGUGGUGCAGCUCCUCAAGUCUCAGGGUCUGGAGCGAGUUAAGGUAUUCGACACUGAUCCUGCUGUACUCAGAGCAUUAUCAGAAUCUGGUAUUAAGGUCACUGUCGACCUCCCAAACGAACUCCUCUACUCCGCGGCCAAACGCCAGUCAUUCGCCUUCUCAUGGGUCCAGAGAAACGUCGCCGCUUACCACCCAUCCACCCAAAUCGAAGCCAUUGCUGUGGGUAACGAAGUUUUUGUGGAUCCACACAACACUUCCAAGUUCCUCAUACCUGCCAUGAAAAAUAUCCACCAAGCUCUGGUCAAGCUUAACCUUGAUUCCGCCAUCAAAGUUUCUUCACCAAUAGCACUCAGCGCUCUUCAAUCUUCUUACCCAUCCUCGGCCGGGGCAUUCCGAUCCGAAUUAAUUGAAUCCGUUUUCAAGCCCAUGUUGGAUUUCAUCCGGGAAACCGGUUCAUAUCUCAUGGUCAAUGCGUACCCCUUUUUUGCCUAUGAGUCGAACUCGGAUGUCAUUUCUCUGGACUACGCUUUGUUUAGAGAGAACCCGGGUGUGGUGGAUGCGGGUAAUGGGCUGCGGUAUUUCAGCCUCUUUGAUGCCGAAAUCGACGCCGUUUUUGCUGCUUUGUCCGCUCUGAAAUACGACGACAUCAGGAUGGUCGUGACUGAGACGGGUUGGCCAUCAAAGGGAGACGAGAAUGAGAUAGGUGCCAGCAUAGAAAACGCCGCAGCGUACAACGGCAAUCUUGUCCGUAGGAUUCUGACAGGUGGUGGGACCCCUCUUAGACCCAAGGCAGAUCUCACCGUUUAUCUUUUUGCGCUCUUCAAUGAGGACGAAAAGAACGGGCCCACAUCCGAGAGAAAUUACGGCCUCUUUUACCCCAACGAGCAAAAGGUUUAUGAUAUCCCUUUUACUGUGGAGGGCCUCAAGAAUUAUAGUGACAGCCGGUCACCGGGAUCCGGUGGUCAACAAGUGACGACUCCGAUAAGCGGCGGCAUAUCCAAGAGCACUACGGGGAACACAUGGUGCGUGGCGAAUCGUGAUGUCGGAAAAGAGAAGCUGCAGGCGGCACUAGAUUAUGCUUGUGGUGAAGGAGGAGCUGAUUGCCGUCCGAUCCAGCCAGGCGCCACGUGUUACGAUCCUAACACAGUCCAGGCCCACGCGUCUUUCGCCUUUAACAGUUAUUAUCAGAAGAAAGGGCGGGAGAUUGGUACCUGUUAUUUCGGAGGAGCAGCGUUCGUCGUCACACAAGCACCAAGUGCGUAUUUUAGCUAAUACUCUUUAUUGUUCCCAUUUUUAUUUUAGCUUAUGUUAGAGAACUUGUAUACUAGAUUGAUAACAUGCGCCACGGGGGUCCACUCAGUAUGCGUCAAUACUGAAUGAUAACAUGCGCCAAGGGGGUCCACUCAGUAUGCGACAAUACUGAAUGAUAACAUGCGCCAAGGGGGUCCACUCAGUAUGCGACAAUACUGAAUGGUGCGCCCUGCACGCCAGUUUAGAAUUAACGUAGAAAAAAAAAAAAAGGCACCACGUGACUGGUCAUGAUGUGAUUGAGAAUCUUUAUUAGUGAUGACGUGGCAUGCAGUAAUUGGAAGACGAUGUGGAGCGAGUAAAAUUGGUCAUCCGGGUGCUGGAAAAUCGUGGAAGGCAGCAAUUUGCGACUUUUUUUUAUACUUUUAUAGUUUUAUUUUUUUUUUCUUUAUAAUGUAAUUUUUUUUAAUCUUUGCAGAGUACGGGCAGUGCGAGUUUCCCACAGGAUAUUGAAGAAAGAAGAAUGGGAUUUGGCAUUUAACUGAGGAGAUUAGUGGAAAAUGGGAAUGGUUGAAUGUAGUUUUUGGUGCUUUAUUAAAUUUUUUUGAGGGGUUGUGAUUGUAUUUAAAGUGCAGAGUAGGUUGAGUUGUUAGAGAGUUAAUUAAACUAGGUAAUAUAUUCUGUAAUUAUUAAAAGUUUAUGUUUCUGUUUCAGUUUCCCAUUUCAAGGUAUCUUCUCAAUAAAUCUAAUGAAUACACUACUGACUCAUGAGGGGGUGGGUAAUUAAGAAUCUUUACUGUUGAGUGAUUAAGAGAGAGUGUGAGAUGAUAAAGAUGUUUUUAUAGUGUUCAUGAUCAUGCCAAUUGCCUAAUGAUUUGAAUUAUUAACUUGCUUUA